rnacentral:rRNA from 1 species
AACGAACGCUGGCGGCAUGCCUAACACAUGCAAGUCGAACGAGAUCUUCGGGUCUAGUGGCGCACGGGUGCGUAACGCGUGGGAAUAUGCCCUUUGGUUCGGAAUAACAGUUGGAAACGACUGCUAAUACCGGAUGAUGACGAAAGUCCAAAGAUUUAUCGCCAGAGGAUGAGCCCGCGUAGGAUUAGCUAGUUGGUGUGGUAAAGGCGCACCAAGGCGACGAUCCUUAGCUGGUCUGAGAGGAUGAUCAGCCACACUGGGACUGAGACACGGCCCAGACUCCUACGGGAGGCAGCAGUGGGGAAUAUUGGACAAUGGGCGAAAGCCUGAUCCAGCAAUGCCGCGUGAGUGAUGAAGGCCUUAGGGUUGUAAAGCUCUUUUACCCGGGAUGAUAAUGACAGUACCGGGAGAAUAAGCUCCGGCUAACUCCGUGCCAGCAGCCGCCGCCG